rnacentral:misc_RNA from 1 species
GAUGAAGAACGCAGCGAAAUGCGAUAAGUAAUGUGAAUUGCAGAAUUCAGUGAAUCAUCGAAUCUUUGAACGCAUCUUGCGCUCCUUGGUAUUCUGAGGAGCAUGCCUGUUUGAGUGUCAUUAAAUUCUCAACUACACUGACUUUGAAUUGGUGUGGCUUGGAUUUGGGGGGAAAAUUGUUGUGGGCUUUUCGUAUAGUCUGCUCCCCUGAAAUUGAUUAGCGGUACCUUUGUGGAACUGUCUACAGGUGUGAUAAUUAUCUACAUCUUAGACAUCUGCUGGAAUGCUGCUCUCUAAACCUUACUUGUAUUGACAAUCUUGACCUCAAAUCAGGUAGGACUACCCGCUGAACUUAAGCAUAUCAAUAAGCGGAGGA